rnacentral:rRNA from 1 species
GACAACUCUCAACAACGGAUAUCUUGGCUCCCGUAACGAUGAAGAACGCAGCGAAAUGCGAUACGUAGUGUGAAUUGCAGAAUUCCGUGAACCAUCGAAUCUUUGAACGCAAAUUGCGCUUGAGGCUUCGGCCAAGAGCAUGUCUGGCUCAGCGUCGGCUU